AUAAAAUUGAUGAAAAUUUUGGGAAAAAUUUUCCUAAGCCAGACAUUGUAAUUUCAGAUCCAAACCGUCCAGGCAUGCACAUGAAGUUGAUCAAAUUCUUGCUAAAACUUAAGGCACCACGCAUAGUUUAUGUGUCAUGCAAUCCUGCUACAUGUGCACGUGACCUUGAUUAUCUUUGUCAUGGUGUGACACAGCAGAAUAUAGAAGGAUGUUACAAACUAACAAGUCUACAGCCAGUAGAUAUGUUUCCACACACUCCUCAUAUUGAGUGUAUUUGUCUACUGGAGCUUUGUUGAUCUUUACUUCAGAAAACCGUCAA